UAAAGCGUCUCUCUGUCCCGCUCAUCCUGUUGUUCCAAUAUUCCAACAGCCCAGUGAUUAUUGAGCAAUGCGCAUGUGCGGGACAGAUUGUAUGCUGCUAU
rnacentral:pre_miRNA from 1 species